rnacentral:tRNA from 1 species
GGGGAGAUUCCCGAGCGGCCAAAGGGGACGGACUGUAAAUCCGUUGGCGAUGCCUUCGCAGGUUCGAAUCCUGCUCUCCCCA